rnacentral:tRNA from 1 species
CGGGGUGUAGCUCAGCCCGGUUAGAGCGCUUGCCUUGGGCGCAAGAGGCCGGAGGUUCGAAUCCUCUCACCCCGA